rnacentral:rRNA from 1 species
AUCGAACGCUGGCGGCAGGCCUAACACAUGCAAGUCGAACGAGUGGCGGACGGGUGAGUAAUGUCUGGGCACCUGCCUGAUGGAGGGGGAUAACUACUGGAACCGGUAGCUAAUACCGCUUACCAUCGUAUGUGCCCAGAGGGGAUUAGCUAGUAGGUGGGGUAAAGGCUCACCUAGGCGACGAUGCCUAGCUGGUCUGAGAGGAUGACCAGCCACACUGGAACUGAGACACGGUCCAGACUCCUACGGGAGGCAGCAGUGGGGAAUAUUGCACAAUGGACGCAAGCCUGAUGCAGCCAUGCCGCGUGUGUGAAGAAGGCUUUCGGGUUGUAAAGUACUGUCAGCGGGGAGGCGGUACCCACAGAAGAAGCACCGGCUAACUACGUGCCAGCAGCCGCGGUAAUAC